rnacentral:rRNA from 1 species
UGGGGAAUUUUGGACAAUGGGGGAAACCCUGAUCCAGCCAUCCCGCGUGUGCGAUGAAGGCCUUCGGGUUGUAAAGCACUUUUGGCAGGAAAGAAACGUCGCGGGUUAAUACCCCGCGAAACUGACGGUACCUGCAGAAUAAGCACCGGCUAACUACGUGCCAGCAGCCGCGGUAAUACGUAGGGUGCAAGCGUUAAUCGGAAUUACUGGGCGUAAAGCGUGCGCAGGCGGUUCGGAAAGAAAGAUGUGAAAUCCCAGAGCUUAACUUUGGAACUGCAUUUUUUAACUACCGGGCUAGAGUGUGUCAGAGGGAGGUGGAAUUCCGCGUGUAGCAGUGAAAUGCGUAGAUAUGCGGAGGAACACCGAUGGCGAAGGCAGCCUCCUGGGAUAACACUGACGCUCAUGCACGAAAGCGUGGGGAGCAAACAGGAUUAGAUACCCUGGUAGUCCACGCCCUAAACGAUGUCAACUAGCUGUUGGGGCCUUCGGGCCUUGGUAGCGCAGCUAACGCGUGAAGUUGACCGCCUGGGGAGUACGGUCGCAAGAUUAAAACUUAAAUGAAUUGACGGGGGUGCAUAGCGUGUUUCCC